UAGGGAAUCUUCGGCAAUGGACGAAAGUCUGACCGAGCAACGCCGCGUGAGUGAAGAAGGUUUUCGGAUCGUAAAACUCUGUUGGUAGAGAAGAACGUUGGUGAGAGUGGAAAGCUCAUCAAGUGACGGUAACUACCCAGAAAGGGACGGCUAACUACGUGAC
rnacentral:rRNA from 1 species